ensembl:snRNA U6 U6 spliceosomal RNA
GUGCUCGCUUUGGCAGCACAUAUACUAAAACUGGAACGAUACAGAGAAGAUCAGCAUGACCCCUGCGCAAGGAUGACAUGUAAAUAAAUAAAUAAAUGAAAAUGCAU